CUCCGCACAGAGGCGCUCUCCCUGUCGCACCACUGCUUGGACCACCGAGUCUGGGGUCGGCAGCAGCUGUGUCACGUGGUUCUUCUGGACAAGACCCUCCAGGACGCUCUGCCGUGGGAUGAGGCACGAUCCAGGAGCGACCUGGAGAAACCUCGACAUCCUUUCAAGCACUUGGCCAGGCUCCUCACCCUCCACUAUGUUGAGGAUGAGUGCCAGCACGGGGCCACUGGAGGGGGCGUCUGGGACAUGCAUGGUGUAUUCUCCAACGUUCAGCUUCAGAGGGUUCUCGUUCAGCACAGGCUGGUACUCCAACAAAUCAUCCAGGGAGAUGAUGCCGCCUGCAACAAGCACAAUUUUUUUAGGACCUGCCGCCUGGAUGUCCUCAACGAUGGUGCGUGCCAUGGACCCAUUAUAAAACACAUCAGGACCCUCUUCUGCUAUUCUUUGGCUUCACUCUCACCACAUGUUGGCAUCUCUUUGGAUAGAAUCUUUGCUCCUCAAGAUGGCGUGAGCCAACGCUUUUCCGAUAGGAAAG